GGGAUGAUGGCGCAGUUGGGAGCGCGUUAGACUGAAGUUGUAACUUCAGCCAAGUAACACCAAGUGUCAUCUAAAGGCCGCCGGUUCAAUCCCGGCUCAUCCCA
rfam:Aspergillus zonatus CBS 506.65 unplaced genomic scaffold ASPZOscaffold_2, whole genome shotgun sequence.